UACGGGGGGGUGCAAGCGUUGUUCGGAAUUAUUGGGCGUAAAGAGCGUGUAGGCGGUUUGUUAAGUCUGAUGUGAAAGCCCUGGGCUCAACCCAGGAAGUGCAUUGGAAACUGGCAGACUUGAAUACGGGAGAGGGCAGUGGAAUUCCUAGUGUAGGAGUGAAAUCCGUAGAUAUUAGGAGGAACACCGGUGGCGAAGGCGGCUGCCUGGACCGAUAUUGACGCUGAGACGCGAAAGCGUGGGUAGCAAACAGG
rnacentral:rRNA from 1 species